AGUAACGCGUGGGUAACCUGCCUCAUACAGGGGGAUAACAGUUAGAAAUGACUGCUAAUACCGCAUAAGCGCACAGUGCUGCAUGGCACAGUGUGAAAAACUCCGGUGGUAUGAGAUGGACCCGCGUCUGAUUAGCUAGUUGGUGGGGUAACGGCCUACCAAGGCGACGAUCAGUAGCCGGCCUGAGAGGGUGAAGGCCACAUUGGGACUGAGACACGGCCCAA
rnacentral:rRNA from 1 species